CUACGGGAGGCAGCAGUCGAGAAUAUUGGUCAAUGGGCGAAAGCCUGAACCAGCGACGCCGUGUGCUUGAAGAAAUCCUUCGGGGUGUAAAGAGCUUUUCUCAGGGAUGAGGCCGCAAGGCGGACAGUACCUGAGGAAUAAGGGGGUGCUAAUCACGUGCCAGCAGCCGCGGUAAUGCGUGACCCCCAAGCGUUAUCCGGAUUUAUUGGGCGUAAAGAGUCUGUAGGCGGCAUAGAAAGUCUUUGGUUAAAUACCUAGAGCUCAACUUUAGGGGUGCCAGAGAAACUACUAAGCUAGAGGGCGCUAAGGGCUGGUGGAACGGUCGGUGUAGGGGUGAAAUCCGUUGAUAUCGACCGGAACCCUCAAAGCGAAGGCAUCCAGCUGGAGCGACCCUGACGCUGAGAGACGAAAGCGUAGGUAGCGAACGGGAUUAGAUACCCCAGUAGUC
rnacentral:rRNA from 1 species